rnacentral:rRNA from 1 species
UACGAAGGGGGCUAGCGUUGCUCGGAAUCACUGGGCGUAAAGCGCACGUAGGCGGAUUGUUAAGUCAGGGGUGAAAUCCUGGAGCUCAACUCCAGAACUGCCUUUGAUACUGGCGAUCUUGAGUCCGGGAGAGGUGAGUGGAACUGCGAGUGUAGAGGUGAAAUUCGUAGAUAUUCGCAAGAACACCAGUGGCGAAGGCGGCUCACUGGCCCGGUACUGACGCUGAGGUGCGAAAGCGUGGGGGGCAAACAGG